GACGUAGGGCGCGAGCGUUGUCCAGAUUUAUUGGGCGUAAAGCGCUCGUAGGCGGCUUGUCGCGUCGUCCGUGAAAACCUGCGGCUCAACUGCAGGCUGGCGGUCGAUACGGGCAGGCUGGAGUUCGGUAGGGGAGACUGGAAUUCCUGGUGUAGCGGUGAAAUGCGCAGAUAUCAGGAGGAACACCGAUGGCGAAGGCAGGUCUCUGGGCCACUACUGACGCUGAGAAGCGAAAGCAUGGGGAGCGAACAGG
rnacentral:rRNA from 1 species